GCCGCCGGGCGGGAUCCCCCCGGGCCGCCACCGGCCGCGCCUCAGCGCCUUGGCGGGCAUCGCGCCCGCCUGACUGAGGGCCGCCCCGGGCCGCGGGAACAGUCCCUCUCCUCAGCGCGGCGCUCCGCGGCUCGUCCCAUGCACCGUGACCCCCUCAGGGCCAUCCGGCCUCACUUCUCUUCACCUGAGGUCCUCAAGAGACACCAGCGUGCACCUUGAAGAGACAAAACACAUUUAACGUCCUCUUACCCCACGUGGCUGUCGGUGCCAGUUACCGAUCUAGGCCCCCAGGGUGGCUGUGAUGGAUGGAAGGCUUACACCCAGUUCAGAUGUGGAUUUAAACGUGUCUUGGACAAAACACGCUUUUCCUCAUCUGCGUUGGUGAUUAGUGAUGAACAGGAAAUGAGAUGUUGACUAGAGGUGACACCAGUCAUUUGCUGCCCUUCAAACAAAGCAACGUAUGGACAGGGUUGCCUUGGGAAGCAGUGAGGGGAAAGGGCCAAGCUGUAAUGACUCCGAUAGUUUAAUGCUCAUUCCAGUGCCUGCGCUAAAAGCUGAGGUUUAGCGCUUAUUUCCGGACUGAAAAACUAGACUCAGUUUUUGCAAAUGAGAGAGGCACAAACCAAAACGCAUGCAUGCCCACUGCAGAAUCCCUUGACUCUCCAGACUCGCUUUCCCUAAUGAAAGUGGUUGUUUCACUCCAUAAACGGAAACAUUAAGGAGAAAAAAGCUGGUCUCCACGUUCACAGCAGUAAUGCUGCGGAUGGCGACGAGAAGAAGUGGAGGCCUGGUUCCCAUGUUUGCUGAGCAGAGGCGUUGGAGCCCUGGAGUGAGGUCUCACAUAAGAAUGAUGAGCAGAGCAACCACUGAUGCCAGUACUGAGCUGGCUGAACUUGGGCAGCUCCAUACCUGGUUACCCAGUCAUCAGCAGGAGAGAUGGGGAGAAUAUUUCACAGGAACCUUUAACAGUCCAUAAAAGUGGUAAGACUUGAAUGCUGAAGCAACAAAAACUCUCUGUCUCCUAACAUACUGAUGAAUAAAACGGAAGGGAUGGCAAGAAAAUGUCA
rnacentral:lncRNA from 1 species